GACGAACGCUGGCGGCGUGCUUAACACAUGCAAGUCGAGCGGAAAGGCCCUUCGGGGUACUCGAGCGGCGAACGGGUGAGUAACACGUGAGAAACCUGCCCUGGACUUUGGGAUAACCCUCGGAAACGGGGGCUAAUACCGGAUAUGACAUUCGACCGCAUGGUUGUUUGUGGAAAGUUUUUCGGUCUGGGAUGGUCUCGCGGCCUAUCAGCUUGUUGGUGGGGUAAUGGCCUACCAAGGCGACGACGGGUAGCCGGCCUGAGAGGGCGACCGGCCACACUGGGACUGAGACACGGCCCAGACUCCUACGGGAGGCAGCAGUGGGGAAGUAUUGCACAAUGGGCGGAAGCCUGAUGCAGCGACGCCGCGUGAGGGAUGACGGCC
rnacentral:rRNA from 1 species